AAAACGGCUCUUAUAAGAGCCACAAAAUAUACGCGAAAGAAUGCCU
rfam:Melipona quadrifasciata isolate 0111107301 unplaced genomic scaffold scaffold38, whole genome shotgun sequence.